GAUGAACGCUGGCGGCGUGCCUAAUACAUGCAAGUCGAGCGAACAGACGAGGAGCUUGCUCCUCUGACGUUAGCGGCGGACGGGUGAGUAACACGUGGAUAACCUACCUAUAAGACUGGGAUAACUUCGGGAAACCGGAGCUAAUACCGGAUAAUAUAUUGAACCGCAUGGUUCAAUAGUGAAAGACGGUUUUGCUGUCACUUAUAGAUGGAUACGCGCCGCAUUAGCUAGUUGGUAAGGUAACGGCUUACCAAGGCGACGAUGCGUAGCCGACCUGAGAGGGUGGUCGGCCACACUGGAGCUGAAACACGGUCCAUACUCCUACGGGAGGCAGCAGUAGGGAAUCUUCCGCAAUGGGCGAAAGCCUGACGGAGCAACGCCGCGUGAGUGAUGAAGGUCUUCGGAUCGUAAAACUCUGUUAUUAGGGAAGAACAAAUGUGUAAGUAACUAUGCACGUCUUGACGGUACCUAAUCAGAAAGCCACGGCUAACUACGUG
rnacentral:rRNA from 1 species